AUGCUUACCUGGCAGGGGAGAUACCAUGAUCACAAAGAUGGUUUUCCCAGGGUGGUGCUUGUCCAUGGCACUCCGGGUGUGCUGACUCUUGCCAUGUCCCCAAAUGUGGGAAACUUGCCUGCAUGAUUUGUGGUAGUGGGGGACUGCGUUCGCGCGCUCCCUGG